AACGAACGCUGGCGGCAUGCCUAACACAUGCAAGUCGAACGAGACCUUCGGGUCUAGUGGCGCACGGGUGCGUAACGCGUGGGAACCUGCCCUUAGGUUCGGAAUAACUCCCCGAAAGGGGUGCUAAUACCGGAUAAUGUCUUCGGACCAAAGAUUUAUCGCCUUUGGAUGGGCCCGCGUUGGAUUAGCUAGUUGGUAGGGUAAAAGCCUACCAAGGCGACGAUCCAUAGCUGGUCUGAGAGGAUGAUCAGCCACACUGGGACUGCGACACGGCCCAGACUCCUACGGGAGGCAGCAGUGGGGAAUAUUGGACACUGGGCGAAAGCCUGAUCCAGCAGUGCCGCGUAAGUGAUGAAGGCCUUAGGGUUGUAAAGCUCUUUUACCCGGGAUGAUAAUGACAGUACCGGGAGAAUAAGCUCCGGCUAACUCCGUG
rnacentral:rRNA from 1 species